CGGUCCUACUCUUGGUGUGGCAACACCUCAUUGCAAUGUUAGGCAUGGCAAUUGGAAUGGAAGCAAUCCUUGGUUAUAACUAAUACAAGAUUGAACUGAGUAAUUAUUGAUUAUAAAAGCCCUUCCAAGGGUUAAUUCAAAGUAGUGAUCAAGUACUAAAUCCCACCAACAAAACUUAACUUUCGACUUGGCCUGGGAAUCCAUG
rnacentral:misc_RNA from 1 species